rnacentral:rRNA from 1 species
UACAGAGGUCUCAAGCGUUGUUCGGAUUCAUUGGGCGUAAAGGGUGCGUAGGUGGCGUGGUAAGUCGGGUGUGAAAUUUCGGAGCUUAACUCCGAAACUGCAUUCGAUACUGGCGUGCUUGAGGACUGGAGAGGAGACUGGAAUUUACGGUGUAGCAGUGAAAUGCGUAGAUAUCGUAAGGAAGACCAGUGGCGAAGGCGGGUCUCUGGACAGUUCCUGACACUGAGACACGAAGGCCAGGGGAGCAAACGGG